rnacentral:rRNA from 1 species
CCUACGGGUGGCAGCAGUAGGGAAUCCUCCACAAUGGACGAAAGUCUGAUGGAGCAACGCCGCGUGUGUGAUGAAGGGUUUCGGCUCGUAAAACACUGUUGUAAGAGAAGAAUGACAUUGAGAGUAACUGUUCAGUGUGUGACGGUAUCUUACCAGAAAGGAACGGCUAAAUACGUGCCAGCAGCCGCGGUAAUACGUAUGUUCCAAGCGUUAUCCGGAUUUAUUGGGCGUAAAGCGAGCGCAGACGGUUGUGUAAGUGCGAAGUGAAAGCCCGCAACUUAACCGUGGAAGUUCUUUGGAAACUGGAGAACUUGAGUGCAGUUGAGGAGAGUGAAACUCCAUGUGUAGCGGUGAAAUGCGUAGAUAUAUGAAAGAACACCAGUGGCGAAGGCGAGUCUCUGGACUGUAACUGACGUUGAGGCUCGAAAGAGUGGGUAGCAAACAGGAUUAGAUACCCAAGUAGUC